rnacentral:rRNA from 1 species
AUACGGAGGGUGCAAGCGUUAUCCGGAAUCAUUGGGUUUAAAGGGUCCGUAGGCGGGCAAUUAAGUCAGAGGUGAGAUCCCACAGCUCAACUGUGGAACUGCCUUUGAUACUGAUUGUCUUGAGUUUUAGUGAAGUAGAUAGAAUAUGUAGUGUAGCGGUGAAAUGCAUAGAUAUUACAUAGAAUACCGAUUGCGAAGGCAGUUUACUAACUAACAACUGACGCUAAUGGACGAAAGCGUGGGGAGCGAACAGGAUUAGAAACCCUAGUAGUCC